GACGAACGCUGGCGGCGUGCCUAAUACAUGCAAGUCGAGCGGACGAAUCGAAAGCUUGCUUUUGAUUCGUUAGCGGCGGACGGGUGAGUAACACGUGGGCAACCUGCCCUGUAGACGGGGAUAACACCGAGAAAUCGGUGCUAAUACCGGAUAACACGAAAUGUCGCAUGACGUUUCGUUGAAAGACGGCGCAAGCUGUCGCUACAGGAUGGGCCCGCGGCGCAUUAGCUAGUUGGUGAGGUAACGGCUCACCAAGGCGACGAUGCGUAGCCGACCUGAGAGGGCGAUCGGCCACACUGGGACUGAGACACGGCCCAGACUCCUACGGGAGGCAGCAGUAGGGAAUCUUCCGCAAUGGACGAAAGUCUGACGGAGCAACGCCGCGUGAGCGAAGAAGGCCUUCGGGUCGUAAAGCUCUGUUGUUAGGGAAGAACAAGUAACGCAGUAACUGGCGUUACCGUGACGGUACCUAACGAGAAAGCCACGGCUAACUACGUG
rnacentral:rRNA from 1 species